rnacentral:rRNA from 1 species
UACGUAGGGUGCAGGCGUUGUCCGGAAUUACUGGGCGUAAAGCGCACGCAGGCGGUCUGUCAAGUCGGAUGUGAAAUCCCCGGGCUCAACCUGGGAACUGCAUUCGAAACUGGCAGGCUAGAGUCUUGUAGAGGGGGGUAGAAUUCCAGGUGUAGCGGUGAAAUGCGUAGAGAUCUGGAGGAAUACCGGUGGCGAAGGCGGCCCCCUGGACAAAGACUGACGCUCAGGUGCGAAAGCGUGGGGAGCAAACAGG